GAAAUGCGAUACUUGGUGUGAAUUGCAGAAUCCCGUGAACCAUCGAGUCUUUGAACGCAAGUUGCGCCCGAAGCCUUCGGGUUGAGGGCACGCCUGCCUGGGCGUCACGCAUCGCGUCUCCCCCAACCCACCAGUGGUGGGGAGGUGGAGGAUGAUGGCCUCCCAUGCCUCACCGGGCGUGGAUGGCCUAAAAAUGGAGCCCUUGGUUAUGAGCUGCCGCGGCGAAUGGUGGUAUACAAGGCCUUUGGCCUAUGAUGCAUCGUGUCGUGCAGCACCUAACAAGCGAGUGGUCUCGUAGGACCCUUAGUUGUUGCCUUACAAGGCGAUGAUAACCGUUGCGACCCCAGGUCAGGCGGGGCUACCCGCUGAGUUUAA
rnacentral:misc_RNA from 1 species